UUCACUUUCACGGCUUUCAAUGCAGUUAAGUUCAAGAGAACUAUAGUUUGGUGAUAUGGAUCCCAAACGGAAGGGAACAGCAGCGGUUUGUAGUUGUAGAGAACUAAUUAGCGCUAAGAGUUGUUAAAGGGACAGUUUGGUCAAUUUCAACAUGCAGUUGUAAUGCUCACACUACCCUGGACUUGUCAGUGCCUGAGAUUUUUUUUUCUUCUUCUUCAGCUGUUUCCGAGAUCCUGGUCAUUGUAAUGGGGGCAGCUCUUUGUUUACAUUUCAAAAAAACAUUUUUAUUUAUUCCCAAAAACAUCCAAAAGGUUAUAAAACAUCAGCAGACAACUAGCAAACAGCAGUACCUUUUGGGAAAAUAUUUGGAGUUGGCCUAGGUUUCAUUUUUUAAAAAUGUAAACAAACGCUGCCCCCAUUAGAAUUGCUCAUAUCUCGGAAAGGGCUGAGCCGAAAAAUGUGCCAUCACCAGGUACUGACAAGUCAAGGGUAGCGUGAGCAAUACAACUGCAUGUUGAAAUUGACCAAACUGUCCCUUUAACCUGUUGUUUCUUGUUUACCUGUCACAGUAGCCCAUAGCACUUUUGUCAUAGAGAGCAACUUGGUCAGUAAAUAUCUGCCUGCUGUAUAAAGUAGCAGUAUUUGGAUAAGUUACAGCUAACACGGACGGCGAACUUUAGACUGUAUAUUGUGUGUUUGACAGAUUUCUGACAGCGACAGCGAUGGUGAGGGAAGCAGUGUACCGAACUCUCAGAUGACUCGGACCAGGUGACCAAACCCAUGCAAAACACAAUGGAGAUUAACAAGAGGCUGGAUGCUGCGUCCAUCACCAGAGGGGCCGGGAUUGCUGCGGCAGCUAGCCAAUUAAAGGAGGAGGAUGAAGGAGAGGAGUCUGACGAUGCAGACAUCGCCAUCGUAUGCAGGCCACGCCCUCGCAGGAAAACCAGCCAAUGAAAACGCUCGCAGCAGCAUCAGCAGAACACACCGGCACGACUGACAGAGCUUCUGAAGCAUGCAGUGGAAGAGCUGUCAGUCAAGCUAAAGGUCCCGCCCUCCAACCUGCUGCUGCUGCACGGAGAGGCGGAACUUAACACCUCACACACUAUUGGCCAGCUAGGACUCUGCAUCGCUGACAUCAUUGUCUGGAACCAACUUCACAUCCCUCUUCACUGCACUACUGACACUGAGAUGGAAUCCACAACCCAACCACUAGUGGUCUGCAUUGGGAACCUGAAGACUCUGUCAUCACCACCAGGAGUGACCGCGUUUCCAUUCCCGUUGCAGACGGCCUGACUUGCACAAUUGACAAGCUGUUCAAGCUUUACUGGGUCUGCAACUUGUCAUAUCCAGCACAGCUCAGCUCUGUUUUCACCUUCUUUGAAUAUGUUUAUGACGUUCCAUCUCAACCAACAAACGACCAAAGGUACUAGAACUUCUCUCAAAGCUUCCCAGCAACCCAGUGAUCACUCAACAUGUGUUUAUGCCCAAGUACACGCUUUGUCAGAUGCACAGGGCAUGACGAUAAUAUGCAGCCAAGAUGGCUGUUCAAGUGUACAAGGACUUACUACGUAGACACCACCAGUCCACAACAACAGAAAUGGGUGUAUCUUUCAAUGACUCUUUUGAAUCCACUGACAUUCAGACAACCUAUGCAGCUUCAAGUAACACCUGAAGAAAGAGCAUUUUGUGUUCCUUCUCAAGGACAGAUUCUCUAUAAUUUACCACUUAAUGACAAUUUAUCUGUGUUCAUGCUUGUUAGGAUUAUUACUGAGAAUUAUUUUGAUUAUCAUUUUGGCAACACUUUAUUUUAGCAUUACAUCUAUUAGCUCUAAUACAUACAGUAUUAAUGCCUGUAUGCUCUAAGUAACUUGUAAGGCAUGCACUAAGCAAAAUCAAAUAUAUGUUAGGCAUGUAUUCGCAAAUUACUUGUUCAUGCACAAUUAGGGAUUUAUU